UUAUACUGGAGUGCUCGGUGAAAUCUAGACCGUACACAAGCUAAGAGUUCGGUUCUCCAAAAUAUUGCUAAUACUAGUAGUUUCCAAGGAUUGGUCGAAAGGACCUGCUCACUGAUUCAAAAUCAUCUUAUCUGUAGGAUUUCGAGAGUUGUGGAUGUUUACUUUAGUACCUCACGGGCUUUAUCUGUAUUAUUCCAGUUUACUCGAAUUUUUACAACGACG
rnacentral:lncRNA from 1 species